GCCCUUAGAGUUUGAUCCUGGCUCAGAACGAACGCUGGCGGCAGGCUUAACACAUGCAAGUCGAGCGCCCCGCAAGGGGAGCGGCAGACGGGUGAGUAACGCGUGGGAAUCUACCCAACCCUACGGAAUAACGCAUGGAAACGUGUGCUAAUACCGUAUACGCCCUACGGGGGAAAGAUUUAUCGGGGAUGGAUGAGCCCGCGUUGGAUUAGCUAGUUGGUGGGGUAAAGGCCUACCAAGGCGACGAUCCAUAGCUGGUCUGAGAGGAUGAUCAGCCACAUUGGGACUGAGACACGGCCCAAACUCCUACGGGAGGCAGCAGUGGGGAAUAUUGGACAAUGGGCGCAAGCCUGAUCCAGCCAUGCCGCGUGAGUGAUGAAGGCCCUAGGGUUGUAAAGCUCUUUCACCGAUGAAGAUAAUGACGGUAGUCGGAGAAGAAGCCCCGGCUAACUUCGUGCCAGCAGCCGCGGUAAUACGAAGGGGGCUAGCGUUGUUCGGAAUUACUGGGCGUAAAGCGCACGUAGGCGGAUAUUUAAGUCAGGGGUGAAAUCCCGCAGCUCAACUGCGGAACUGCCUUUGAUACUGGGUAUCU
rnacentral:rRNA from 1 species